rnacentral:rRNA from 1 species
AUGCCCAAGCGCACCAUGGGAGGGAGGGCCGACGCCGGGGCUGAUGCCAUGGCGCACGAAGCUCCGGUGCAGGUGUCACCUACGCCGAAGCAAGUGGCUCCUCCGCCGGAGCAGGUGACUCCUCUUCCACGCCAUCUGCCUCCUCUGCCGCAGCCCGUGGUCAACGUCGACGGCGACGACGACGAAGAAGAGGUAGCUGCUCUAGCUCCUCAGACGGAGCAGGUGACGCCUCCUGUGCCCGAGCCUAUGGUCGUCGGUAGCUCCUCUAGCUCCUCUGCCGGAGCAGGUGGUGGCUCCUCAUCCUCAGUCGGGUGUUCGUCUGUCGUGGUUGUUGCCUCCCCUGCCCCCACCCGUGGUCGUCGCCGACGAGAACGAAGAAGAGGUUUUCUCUGGUCAGUACAAGGCAAAUAA